UAUGUCCCAGUCUUUAUGGAGGUAGCAAAUCACAGUGAGGCCUCUGCUCACCUGUCCGAACCAGAGGGGAACCUCUGCAGAAAGGAAACCUGGGGGCUUUGGGGACUGUUUCCCCCUUCAGUCAUUAUGCAAAUGCCACCUCCUUCAGUGCUGGUGUCUGUUCCCUUCGAGGUCUCCUGAGUGAAUCUCUGAGGGCAGGAUCAACACCCUAGCUCUAGCCUUUUGUGCUUCAUGUAAUAAAAACAUGUAAAAAUAGCUAUCUGCUAUCAGUAGCAUGGCUUGUGUGUCAAUGGACAUAAAAUUUAGAGUCAAGUACAUUUAGAAUUUCAGCCCACUGUUCCCUGGGCCUCCUGGCUAUUUCCAAUGAAAGCUUUGCCUGGCCCUGGAAUUUUCCCUAUUUAACACAAGCUAGUAUUUCUAAAGAUAUAAAAUCAUUCUUCAUUCACUUCAUUAUUCAUUCAUUCAUUUUUUUUCUUGCAAAAGUCUUUAGCAUUCAGGAAACUAUCGUUUAGGCUUUGUAUCCCACAGGGCACCAGGGUUUGUGGAAAUAUCUAAAUGGAGACAAGGAAACGGUACCUCAUGAGUGGCACAAGUGUGCCUUUAUCAUUGUAGUUACCAUAGUUACAACAGGAACCGCUAUGGGAUGUACUCUCUCCUGUAAACACUGGGCCAGUCUUGUGUAAUUUAGGAUCAUUAGGGUAAAUAGUCCAUCAGCUCUCUGCAGGCCUUCCUCAUGGCUGCUAUGAGUUUAAACGUGUAACAAAGGGAUGAAGGAGCAGUAGAUGAUUGGUUCAGACCCAGGAAAGCAGUUAGUAAACCUUAGUCUCAGAACCUGCUAAACUUCUAGUCUUUAAAUUAUUCAUCCUCCCACUUAGCAAGGUAUUGAAGUUAAUAGCUAUAGGUAAUGUUACUUGAGGCACAGCAUUCUAGAAAUGUCUGUAACUUUGGACUUUCUUAGGCUGGGUUUACACAGAGCUACUGAGAAGAUGGCCUCCGAGCUGCCCUGAGGUAUACACAGCAGUGGGCUUCUCAAAUUUAGCUCUCUGAGCAUAAAGGAAUUUGGCGUGACCUAUGUUUGGGAGUUUGAAUUUCUCUCACACCUGCCCUAUGUUAGUAUUCUUUAGUGGCUUGUGUCAUUUACUUUGGGGACAGCUAUAUCACGUAUUUUGUGAUUGUGAAAGAUACCACGGCCAAAAGCGACUUACAGAAGGAGUUUGUUUUGGCUUAUGGUUCCAGAAGGAUGAGGAUCUAUCACAGUGGGGAAUCACAGCAGCAAGCAGCAGGCAUGGCAGGAGGAGAAGUAAGCUGCCUACACCUUAACCAUGAGCUCAAGCAGAGAAAGUGAACUGAGAGUAGGCUAAGGCUGUACACUCUCAACUCUUUUUUUUUUUUUCCUUUUUCUUUUUAGUGACACAUUUCCUCUUAAGAGUUGUAUAACAUCUCCAAACAGCAUCACCAACUGGGGACAAAGCAAGCCUUUGGGGGAGACUUCUCGUUAAAACCACAGCGGUGGUGCAGCUGGUGAUUUGGGUCACUGUUUUCACACAUCUGUUCUGCAAACUCUUGCUCCAGGUGUUUCACCUUUGUGUCAUUGCGACGCUCUCUCAGCUCUGCAUGCCUCAGCCCACCCUGGACCACAGCGAGGUGCUUCUUAAGGUUCAGUAGGAUCAUGUCUUUCCAUUGACCAACACAUUUCUUUGACUUUCUUUCUCUUAAUAUCAUUUUCUCUGCCAAACUGACAGCUCCUAAUUAGAUUGACCAUAAGGAUAUACAGUCAAUAUGUACAACAUUCAAGACAUUUCCCCUCAUUCCUACAACUCACUCCUUUGCUCACACUCAUGAACAGUGGCCAGACUUCCCUGAACAUGCCAAGGACAUGUCUGAGGACGGAUUCCUUGGAGAUCUCUGACCUAGAAUAUCAGCCUCCUUCUUUCCCACCGUUUUCUCCUACCCAUCCCAUUUUCCUUUCAUGGUCAUUAACAGCAAAUUCCUCCUCUCUCUGAAUAUUUCCUGAUCACCGUUAGAGGAGGUGUGGCCUUGAUGGAGGAGUUGAGUCAUUGGAGGGGGGGUGGGAGAGGUAUACUUUGCAGUUUCAAAGCCUCAUGCAUUUUACUUGGCUCUCUCACUCUGCCUUGUUUUUUGUCAUCUCAUUGUGUAAGCUCUCAACGACUUCUCCAGGCCAGGUCUGCCCUCGGGCUGCCUCUCUUCCCACCGUGACUGUCACGCCUCAGAGCAUCCCCUGUUUCCUCGGCCAAGGAUAGAGGGAAAUGCUCUGGAUUCAAGACACAGCUUCCUUAUGCAAGGCGUGGAAGUGAUUUUGCACAGUCUCCCACUACAGAACAGCUCGUCACUGCCACCAUGUUUACACAGAGGAGCAUGCCACCUUCGGAAAAGCACACCUAGCUGACCGUGAUGUUCUUGAAAAGUCACUGCUGACAUGCCACUGUGUUUAAAGAAAUGCCGGGCCUUUUAAUACUAGGGGAAUAAAAAGAUACCGUGAUGAAACAUAUCAUGGAGCCGCACCAGGAAAGCUGUGCUGGUUACUGCAGGACUGAGAGAAUCAUCCUCAUUGCUGACCCACAGAAAGGCUGUUGAAGGCGAGGAGAGGCUGGAAAUGCAUGUGUUCCAGAUGGAAACAGCAAGUGGACCAAACACUGUGAAGGGUCUGGCAGCUCCUGGAGUGGUCAGAAUUAACUCACGACCCACCCCUACUAUCCAGUGAAACAAACCCAAGAAUAAUGAGCACAUGUGUCAACAUGCAAACUUGCACUUGGAUGUUAGUAGGGGAAUCCUUACUCAGAGAAAUGAGCGUGCAGGAAGAACCCAGCAUCUACCACUGGGUUAUUUGGCAACGGGUGAAGUAGUGGGAUACGGCUACAGGCUACAAUGCCGGUGAACUUUGAAAACCUUAACUGGAAGAGGCCAGUUACGGAGGGCUACAGAUUUCACCAUCUCAAAGUGGUUCCUGAGGGUGACUGAGGAAGGAGGA